AGCAGCCGCGGUAAUUCCAGCUCCAAUAGCGUAUAUUAAAGUUGCUGCAGUUAAAAAGCUCGUAGUUGAAUUUCGGGACUAAUAUGUUGGUCGUGCCUCGGUACGUACUGAUAUUUUUGGUUUCUCCCUUCUGACGAACCUUGAUGUCAUUAAUUUGGUGUCUUGGGAAAUCAGGACUGUUACUUUGAAAAAAUUAGAGUGUUUAAAGCAGGCUCACGCUUGAAUACAUUAGCAUGGAAUAAUGAAAUAGGACGUUUGAUUCUAUUUUGUUGGUUUCUAGGAUCGACGUAAUGAUUAAUAGGGAUAGUUGGGGGCGAUUAGUAUUCAAUUGUCAGAGGUGAAAUUCUUGGAUUUAUUGAAGACUAACUACUGCGAAAGCAUUUGCCAAGGAUGUUUUCAUUAAUCAAGAACGAAAGUUAGGGGAUCGAAGACGAUCAGAUACCGUCGCAGUCUUAACCAUAAACUAUGCCGACUAGGGAUCGGAUGAUGUUAAUUUUUUAAUGACUCAUUCGGCGCCUUA
rnacentral:rRNA from 1 species